AACACAUGCAAGUCGAGGGGCAGCAUUUCAGUUAGCUUGCUAAUUGAAGAUGGCGACCGGCGCACGGGUGAGUAACACGUAUCCAACCUACCGUUUACUCUCGGAUASCCUUCCGAAAGGAAGAUUAAUACRGGAUGGCAUUAAGUGUUCACAUGAUAUUCUUAAUUAAAGAAUUUCGGUAAACGAUGGGGAUGCGUUCCAUUAGAUAGUAGGCGGGGUAACGGCCCACCUAGUCGASGAUGGAUAGGGGUUCUGAGAGGAAGGUCCCCCACAUUGGAACUGAGACACGGUCCAAACUCCUACGGGAGGCAGCAGUGAGGAAUAUUGGUCAAUGGACGAGAGUCUGAACCAGCCAAGUAGCGCGAAGGAUGAAGGUCCUAUGGAUUGUAAACUUCUUUUAUACAGGAAUAAAGUGAGUCACGUGUGGCUUUUUGUAURUACUGUAUGAAUAAGCAUCGGCUAACUCCGUGCCAGCAGCCGCGGUAAUACGGAGGAUGCGAGCGUUAUCCGGAUUUAUUGGGUUUAAAGGGAGCGCAGACGGUUUGUUAAGUCAGUUGUGAAAGUUUGGGGCUCAACCUUAAAAUUGCAAUUGAUACUGGCAGACUUGAGUGCAGAUGAGGUAGGCGGAAUUCGUGGUGUAGCGGUGAAAUGCUUAGAUAU
rnacentral:rRNA from 1 species